AAGCGUGGAGCAUGUUGGUUUAAUUCGAAGCAGCGCGAAGAACCUUUACCAGGUCUUGACAUCCCGAUGCUAUUUCUAGAGAUAGAAAGUUACUUCGGUACAUCGGUGACAGGUGGUGCAUGGUUGUCGUCAGCUCGUGUCGUGAGAUGUUGGGUUAAGUCCCGCAACGAGCGCAACCCCUAUUGUUAGUUGCCAUCAUUCAGUUGGGCACUCUAGCGAGACUGCCGGUAAUAAACCGGAGGAAGGUGGGAUGACGUCAAAUCAUCAUGCCCCUUAUGACCUGGGCUACACACGUGCUACAAUGGUUGGUACAACGAGUUGCGAGUCGGUGACGGCGAGCUAAUCUCUUAAAGCCAAUCUCAGUUCGGAUUGUAGGCUGCAACUCGCCUACAUGAAGUCGGAAUCGCUAGUAAUCGCGGAUCAGCACGCCGCGGUCGAAUACGUUCCCGGGCCUU
rnacentral:rRNA from 1 species